rnacentral:ncRNA from 1 species
CUAUGACAUUUAUUUGUCAUGGCGAAAGGAG